UACAGAGGUCUCAAGCGUUGUUCGGAUUCAUUGGGCGUAAAGGGUGUGUAGGCGGCGCGUUAAGUCGGGUGUGAAAUUUCGGAGCUUAACUCCGAAACUGCAUUCGAUACCGGCGUGCUUGAGGACUGGAGAGGAGACUGGAAUUCAUGGUGUAGCAGUGAAAUGCGUAGAUAUCAGGAGGAACACCGGUGGUGUAGACGGCUUUCUGGACCGUAACUGACGCUGAGACACGAAAGCGUGGGUAGCAAACAGG
rnacentral:rRNA from 1 species